rnacentral:rRNA from 2 species
AAGUCGACGGUAACAUUGAUGCUUGCAUCAGAUGACGAGUGGCGCACGGGUGAGUAACGCGUAUACAAUCUACCUUUUACAGGGGGAUAGCCUUUAGAAAUGAAGAUUAAUAUCCCAUAGUAAGUAGUUUUGGCAUCAAGACAACUUUAAAGUUUCGGCGGUAAAAGAUGAGUAUGCGUUCUAUUAGUUAGUUGGUAAGGUAACGGCUUACCAAGACCACGAUAGAUAGGGGCCCUGAGAGGGGGAUCCCCCACACUGGUACUGAGACACGGACCAGACUCCUACGGGAGGCAGCAGUGAGGAAUAUUGGACAAUGGGCGCGAGCCUGAUCCAGCCAUGCCGCGUGCAGGAAGACUGCCCUAUGGGUUGUAAACUGCUUUUAUACAGGAAGAAACCUUUUCACGUGUGAAAAGCUGACGGUACUGUAAGAAUAAGGAUCGGCUAACUCCGUGCCAGCAGCCGCGGUAAUACGGAGGAUCCAAGCGUUAUCCGGAAUCAUUGGGUUUAAAGGGUCCGUAGGUGGAUAAUUAAGUCAGGGGUGAAAGUUUGCAGCUCAACUGUAAAAUUGCCUUUGAUACUGGUUAUCUUGAAUUAUUGUGAAGUGGUUAGAAUAUGUAGUGUAGCGGUGAAAUGCAUAGAUAUUACAUAGAAUACCAAUUGCGAAGGCAGAUCACUAACAAUAUAUUGACACUGAUGGACGAAAGCGUGGGGAGCGAACAGGAUUAGAUACCCUGGUAGUCCACGCCGUAAACGAUGGAUACUAGCUGUUCGGUUUUCGGACUGAGUGGCUAAGCGAAAGUGAUAAGUAUCCCACCUGGGGAGUACGUUCGCAAGAAUGAAACUCAAAGGAAUUGACGGGGGCCCGCACAAGCGGUGGAGCAUGU